GACGAACGCUGGCGGCGUGCCUAAUACAUGCAAGUCGAACGAAAGCGCCCGGUGCUUGCACUGGUCAAUCUAGUGGCGAACGGGUGAGUAACACGUGGGUAACCUGCCCAUCAGAGGGGGAUAACAUCCGGAAACGGGCGCUAAAACCGCACAGGUCUUCGAACCGCACGGUUUGAGACAGCACCGAGGGGGAAGAAUCCGCUGGUGACUGGACCCGCGGGCCAUUAGCUAGUUGGUGAGGAGACGGCCGACCAAGGCCGGGAUGGAUAGGCAACCUGAAGGGGUGGUCGGCUACAUUGGCACUGAGACACGGCCCCAACUCCGACGGUGGGCAGCAGUAGGGAAUCUUCCGCAAUGGACGAAAGUCUGACGGAGCAACGCCGCGUGAGUGAAGAAGGUGUUCGGAUCGUAAAGCUCUGUUGUUAGAGAAGAACAAGUGCUAGAGUAACUGUUAGCGCCUUGACGGUACCUAACCAGAAAGCCACGGCUAACUACGUG
rnacentral:rRNA from 1 species